UACGUAGGGGCUAGCGUUAUCCGGAAUUACUGGGCGUAAAGGGUGCGUAGGUGGUUUCUUAAGUCAGAGGUGAAAGGCUACGGCUCAACCGUAGUAAGCCUUUGAAACUGGGAAACUUGAGUGCAGGAGAGGAGAGUGGAAUUCCUAGUGUAGCGGUGAAAUGCGUAGAUAUUAGGAGGAACACCAGUUGCGAAGGCGGCUCCCUGGACUGUAACUGACACUGAGGCACGAAAGCGUGGGGAGCAAACAGGAUUAGAUACCCUGGUAGUCCCUGAGCGGG
rnacentral:rRNA from 1 species